AGAUUUCAGGUUUUUUAUUUAUUAUGUUACAUAGAAUCACAUAAAAAAAUAUAUAUAUUAUUAUUUUAACUAACACAAUGUCAACAGGCUUACAAAAAUCGAUUUUUUUAUAGUAGUUAAUACUACUAUAAAAAACAAAAACAACAUUAUGUUUCCUAUAAUAGGCACAAUCACAGAUAACUUUAAUUAAUACUAAUCACAGAUAAUCACUAAUGGUUAAGUUAAAAGUGCUUAUUAGUCGCAUGCUUAUUUGUAACACAGUUUGUAAUCUUGUUAAAUUAAAUAAAAUUAAGAAAACGAUUGGUGUUAAUAGAAAUUAAUAAUAUGUGAUGUACCUAUUAAAGGAAACACAAUGUUGUUUGUUAUAAGAAAUAAAAACCUGAAAUCUAUGAUAAUUACAUUUUUUUUUCUUUGGAAGAUUCUAUGUAGCAUAAUAAAUAAAAAACCUGAAAUCUAUGGUAAUUACAUUUUUUUUUCUUUGGAAGGAAGAAGGAACCGUAGCAAAUGUCACCCCCCCGGUGACAACUGAGAAAUAGACUUCCCAUUUGUCCCCUCUAGUCAGUUUUCAAAGGGAACAGUCGGCACAAAUUGUCACCCCGGUGAUAACUGGGAAGACAAUUCCCGGCUAUCACCCCGGAGGACAGCGCUAGAGGGGACUAUUACUACAUAGUAUAAAACAAAGUCGCUUUUUCUGUCAUGUGUCAUGUUGUAUGUCCCUAUGAACGCUCAAAUCUUUAAAACUACGCAACGGAUUUUGAUGCGGUUUUUUUUAAUAGAUAGAGUAACUCAUGAGAAGGUUUUUAUGUAUAAUAACAUCUAUUAAAUAAUGGAGAAAUACUGUUACCCGUGCGAAGCCGGGGCGGGUCGCUAGUUGGGAAUAAUUCGAAUCCGGUUAGACUGGAAGCCGACCCCAACAUAGUUGGGAAAAGGCUCGGAGGAUGAUGAUAUUGCCAUAUUGCAAUCGUAAAUCGUUUGCAGACAAUAUGAUUCAUUAUUGAAUCACAGAAAAGGAUAAACACGUUUAUUUAAAAGAAAAAAUAGUGGAAUGCCACAUACGCUUCAAUCGUAAUUGAGUCGUGAUUGGAUCUCAGUCGGAUGUGAAUCGCAUGUCGCUAAAGUAAAAUUAGCAGGGGCAGGAUUCUGCGCAAUUUUUUCUUUGAAAUAAACGUUUUUAUCCUUUUCUGUCAUUCAAUAAUGAAUCAUUUUGUCUGCAAAUGAUUUACGAUUGCAAUAUGGCAAUAUAGACUAAGAAUAUUAUGGUAAUAUAGACCAAAAUGGCAGACCAAUCGCAAACCAAUCGAAUGUCGUUGGAAUACGAUUGGUCUUAUAUUAGUAACAGAAUGCCCGAUAUGGUUAAAAAAGCUGUUGCGAUGCAAUUUCUAUUCAAUUUUGACAUUAUUAACUUAACAGAAUCGGGCCCCAGAAUCGUGCUCCUGAAAGCUCCUAGUCAUCCGGAUAAACUUGUCAUCACGGGAGAUACCAACUCAGUCAAUUAUAAGGUUGGGCGUUUAGAGAAACACAGUUCCUUACGAGUAACCAUUUAUUACUGAAUCCCAUAUGAAAUGAUACAUGAUUUAAUAAGAUAGACAUACAUAGAUAGACACGCGCACACAUACAUAGGUGUGACACAACAUCAAUUUCCACACCCAGAAAAGAAUCCUGAGUUAUUCAAAGCCUGGGUUAAUAUAGUUGGUGGAAAACUGGAGACUGCAGAUGAUAUCAAAUUUUACAGAAAGCGAGUCAUCUGUGACAUACAUUUUGCAGACAAGUUUAAGAAUCGCAACAACCGUUUAAAUAACAUAGCUGUUCCUACUCUCCAUCUUCAGGGUGCUCCAUCACAAGAUGCUCAUAUGCCUCCUGCAACUCCACAUAUACCAACUGAACUUCCUAUGCCUGAACAUAAUAUAUGGAAUCUGCCUUCUACAUCAAAGCAAAUAGUCACUGGUGCUCCAUCACAAGAUGCUCAUAUGCCUCCUGCAACUCCACAUAUACCAACUGAACUUCCUAUGCCUGAACAUAAUAUAUGGGAUCUGCCUUCUACAUCAAAGCAAAUAAUCACUGGUAUGUAAACGCUUGGCUACCUACAUUCUCAAAUUAUGUUUAACUAGCUACCAUAAUUAAUUACUGCAUUAAGUAAUAUGUAACUGUUGUGUAGUCAUUACAAACACACUUCAACUUGAUUUAUUGUAAUGACAAUUUAGGUUAAUAAUCCUCAUGUAACUCACACUAGUAAUUUUGAUGUUUACAAUGACAAUGGUGAAUUAUUAUUAUUUUAUUUUCAGCUGCACCUCCCAAUGCGUGUGUUAUAGCAGCAGAACAUAAUUAUUGCAGUAAACAUGGUAUACAACAAAGACGGAAACUUAAAGGAGACAAAA